GAUGAACGCUGGCGGCGUGCCUAACACAUGCAAGUCGAACGAAGCUCGAUCCUCGGAGAUUUCGGUCAAAGAGGAAAGAUGACUUAGUGGCGGACGGGUGAGUAAUGCGUGAGCAACCUGCCUUGGAGUGGGGGACAACAGUUGGAAACGACUGCUAAUACCGCAUAAUGUAUUCGGAGGGCAUCCUCUGAAUACCAAAGAUUUAUCGCUCUGAGAUGGGCUCACGUCUGAUUAGCUAGUUGGUGGGGUAACGGCCUACCAAGGCUGCGAUCAGUAGCCGGACUGAGAGGUUGAACGGCCACAUUGGGACUGAGAUACGGCCCAGACUCC
rnacentral:rRNA from 1 species